GUUGUAGUCUGGUCGCCAGAAAACUCGGUUGAUAUGUUUUGUGAAAGCUCUGCAAGCCAUGAACAGAGAUGCCGUCAGCAAGGCGUGAAAAUGCUUAUUUUACCACAGAAAUAAUUAAAAUCUAAAAAAAUAUAAAUACCUAUUGGCCAUAGAAACUCAUGAUAAACUGAGGAGUCCGCGAUAUAAUUUUACACAUAUUAGCGAGAAAAAUCCGCAACGUGAUGAAGAUGCGAUCGGUAAACUGUGAUAUGGUUUGUAAACAAACAUGACAUUCAAAGCAAAACGUGACCAGAUUGUCGCUUUAAAAACAGCUGGUGUGAGCAGCAAGGACAUAACAAAACAGUUGAAUGUGUGUCAUAAAACAGUGUUCAAUAACUGGAAAUGAUAUAUGGAGUUUGCUACUACCUCUAGCAAACCAAUUCCUGGUAGGAAAUGAUCAAUUCAUACCAAACAAACCGUUGAAGCUGUGAAGAGGCGAGUGAACCAAAAUUCCCACAGGAGUGCAAGAAAAACUGCAAAAGCUCUUGGUAGUUUGAAAUCGUCAAUGCACAGGGGCUUUAAAGAGGAUUUAAAGCUAACUGCAUACAAGAAAAAAUUCCAGCAGUUAAUUUCAGCAGCUUCCAAGAAGAAACGGUUCAAAUGGGGUAAAAUCAUGUUAGCUGAGAUGAAGAGGUGGUAUGAUGCUCAUGCAACUCAGUGAUCAUGCGUUUGCAGGCUAUGGUCAAGGCGAAAGAAGGUCAUUUUGAAAUGUAAUUACUGCAAUGGAUUGACAAUUUACAUUAAAAUGAGUGUGCCAAAUUUCA
rnacentral:lncRNA from 1 species